UACGGAGGGGGCAAGCGUUGUUCGGAAUUACUGGGCGUAAAGCGUGCGCAGGCGGCUUCUCAAGUCAGGGGUGAAAGCCCAGAGCUCAACUCUGGAAUUGCCUUUGAGACUGAGUGGCUUGAGUACGGGAGAGGUGAGUGGAAUUCCCAGUGUAGAGGUGAAAUUCGUAGAUAUUGGGAAGAACACCGGUGGCGAAGGCGGCUCACUGGCCCGUAACUGACGCUCAUGCACGACAGCGUGGGGAUCAAACAGG
rnacentral:rRNA from 1 species